rnacentral:rRNA from 1 species
UGGGGAAUAUUGCACAAUGGGCGCAAGCCUGAUGCAGCCAUGCCGCGUGUAUGAAGAAGGCCUUCGGGUUGUAAAGUACUUUCAGCGGGGAGGAAGGGAGUAAAGUUAAUACCUUUGCUCAUUGACGUUACCCGCAGAAGAAGCACCGGCUACCUCCGUGCCAGCAGCCGCGGUAAUACGGAGGGUGCAAGCGUUAAUCGGAAUUACUGGGCGUACAGCGCACGCAGGCGGUUUGUUAAGUCAGAUGUGAAAUCCCCGGGCUCAACCUGGGAACUGCAUCUGAUACUGGCAAGCUUGAGGCUCGUAGAGGGGGGUAGGAUUCCAGGUGUAGCGGUGAAAUGCGUAGAGAUCUGGAGGAAUACCGGUGGCGAAGGCAGCCCCCUGGAAGAAGACUGACGCUCAGGUGCGAAAGCGUGGGGAGCAAGCAGG